rnacentral:lncRNA from 12 species
UGGUGAAGCUGUUUGGGAUCUUGGAUUCUGGCAUACAGAGUGUAACUUCAGGCUGGACUCUGGAACAGCCUCGUGGGUGGAUUAUGAGAGCCCCGAGCACCAGGCAGCCCCGAGCAGGGCUACUGGAUCAGACCUCAGCUCGUGUUCCCAUGGCACUCCAAGGAGGCAAAAGAGGCACAUUUUCCACAAGUUUGUAAACAUUACAGCUUCCAGCAAAAGUGGGUGUGUGAAUGUGUCAGAGCCCCCCAGACGAAGUGGGGCUGUCGGAGGACGCGGUGCUGCGUCGCCACGAGCCCAUGGCCACCAGCCAGCUCUGUCAACACUUGGCUUUGUGCUGUCCGGGGGAGAGGGGCUGACUCCUCAGCAGUGCCUAAUCAGUUUAAAACAAAUCUGGAAGAUGUUACCAGAAGACAAGAUGAGAUCCAGGCUGCAGCAGCCUCUGCAUGCAGAGAGGUGAAGGAUUUUGUUUGAGAAGGAAAUUAAAGAGGUGGAAAUAACUCCUGACAGUUUCAACAGGAUUUUAACUGGGGGUAAGAAGGAGUGAACUACUGGUUUAGGAAGUGGGACUACUGGUACCUAGAGGAAGGACCUUGUUCUGUCACCUCAGCUCUAGCAACAGAGAUAUCAGGGGAAUAGAUCUCCCAGCAAGCAAUGGAAAAGCUCCUGCAUAUCCACAGCAGCACUACAGCACACAAAAGGGACAAACAGAAGGUUGGAGAGUGACUUCUUACAAGGGCAUGUAGUGACAGGACAUGGGGAGCUGGUUUUAAAAUGAAGAAAAGAGGAUAUGGAUUAGAGAUAAGGGAGAAAUUCUUCCUUGUGAGGGUGGUGAGGCUCUGGCACAUUGUCCAGAAAAGUUGUGUCUGCCCCUGGAUGUCUGGAAAUCUCCAAGGCCGGGUUGGAUGAGGUUUGGAGCAACUUGGGAUAGGGGAAGGUGUCCCUGUCCAUGGCAGGGGUGUGGAACAAGAUGAGCUUUAAGGUCCUUUCUAACUCAAAACAUUCUGUGUUUCCAUGAUUCAUCAUAGUCUGGUUAAUUUUUGAAAGGAAACCAAAGUCAAAUAAUUUGGAGAGUAACAAUGACAAGAAACAGUUACCUAAUAAAUCACAGGAGGUGUAUAUAGAAAAGGUAAAUAAGUACUUUUGAUUUAUGGAACAACUUCCAUCUGAGUCCAUCAAAAGGUUUCAGAAAAUAAAUGUUCCCAUACCCAACACAGAUGCCAGGGAGCUCCACAUUCAUCUUUCAGUGCCUCAUCUGGAAACUGCUAACAGCCCUCGAUCACACAGGUAUCCUUGAAAAAGAGAAGCUCUGAUGGUUUUCUUUGGGAUGUGUUCCUGGAAAACUGUUUCCUUCUGUCACCACGAGGUAAAGGAAUGAAGGUAGAAAGCCAAACUUCCCUUCCUGCCUGCAGGCACCCGACCUGGCCCACAGAACACGACCAAGACACACUUUGCCCUUGCAGGAUUCAACUGCAAGGAC